rnacentral:misc_RNA from 1 species
GAAGAACUCAAGAGAUCCCUUUAUGCACUGUUUUCCCAAUAUGGAAGAAUUUUAGAUGUGGUGGCUCUGAAGACAGCCAAACUUCGAGGACAAGCAUGGGUGGUAUUUAGUGAAGUUACAGCUGCCAGUACUGCAGUUCGACAAAUGCAGAACUUUCCGUUUUAUGAUAAACCAAUGAGGAUACAGUAUGCAAAAACAAAAUCAGACUGUGUU